AGUAACUGGCAUUUGGUUAUGGGGUGGCUGUUUUUCUACGUGGAACAAGCAGGGUCCCAGUUCAAGUUUCUGCUGCGUAUCUGAUAAUCUUGAGGUAUUUAUGAAGGACUCCUUUGAAAGUUCUCUACUGAGUUUCCUUAAGGAAUUCCUUAAGGAAUCCUUAAGGUAUAGGUCUUGACAGAACUUAGCAGUCUCUGAGGCUACAGAGAAGUGUGAAAAAGAGCAUAGAGAUUUCAGAAGGAGGCAGAUUCAGUCAGACAUACUGAAUCCUGUUUGAUCUCAAUUCAGGCACACUCCAGAUGGAUGGAGCAGGAAAACCCUUAGUGAAACCUGCCUCUGCAGGUUGAUGGCUUGGGAGGAGAGGCAUUAUGGAAAAUGAUUAGUAUUGAACAGCACACUGGAGUUUUUGUCCAGAAGUUUGACUUUAGAAGAUAAGAAAUAACUGAGCGUAUUACAAGCAGGAGUUAGAGGAAGAGACUCAGUACAGAAGAGACAGGAACAAAAGUUCACCUCCAUUAGAUGGGAAAGGAUACAGAUCAAGAGCUCAGGAAAAGUAGGAGAAAGAAGCUCUAUUCCAGAAGCAGUGUGGAGCACAAAGAAUCCCUAAUCCCUGACAUUAAGAAAGAAGAAAAAUAUUCCUAGGACGAUCCUGGAGA
rnacentral:antisense_RNA from 1 species